CCUCUCUCCAUCUGACUGAGUGAUCAGCACGCCUUAAGGCUUCCAGGCUUCCUGUUCAGCUCAGCUUGUAUGGGGGGUUGUGCUAGGCCACCAGGAUUCUCCAGAGGGCUGGUUGCCUUUUGAACUUGAGCAUCUGGCUCUGGGGUGAAUACAAUGAAUAUUCCCAUAUGAACUGGAAAUGCCUGCCUGGGUCUCUGCUCUUUGAAAGAAACAAGCGGUCCCACAGACUGACUUGAGGAUUUUCUGUCAACGUCAACCCAAGUCAUCACUCUCUGAAACCUCCCACCAGCUCUGCUCGCCCACAGCCCCACCAGUUGCCAGCAUGUCAGGUGGUUCCGGAAGUUCCCCAUACCCAGCAGGAAAGGACAAAAUGGGUGCCCAGGUGCAAGCCUGACUAGUCAUUGGGGUGAGUUCUAGGGAGAGGAGAGUUGGGCUGACACAUACUCAUUUUACUGUGGAUGCUUCUGUAUGUGGGAAUGUUUUAAAAGCAUGUAUUCCUCCUGUAAUUAAAGUUCCAUCCCUUAGGCCUUGUUCAGAGGGCAGAGGGUGACAAGGGACACUUGAUAGGGAAGACAGCACGGGAGCUAGACCUGGUCAGGAAGGCGGCAGUGACAAGAGGACAUCUGGACCAGCAAAAGGGCAGGUACCCUUCAGCUCAGUAUCUCCAUGCCUGGGGCACCGCUUAUCAUACAGUGGGUGCUCAGUACAUGCUCAGCAGAUGAAUGAAGAUGAUGAGAAAGUACCCAUUGAAGCCCAGGCUUGGUUGCAGAAAGCUAAGAGACCCCAGCACAUUUCUCACACAGCGUAAGUUAAAUUGGUGCCUCCAAAUAGACUCUGGCCUGUAAGCUGAGAUGUUACCAAGGGAAGCAAACGACAACUUUUUCAGCAGAACAGUGGCCAUCAGGAAGCUGCUCUGCGGCCAGCGUUGCCCCUGGAGACAGAGGGCACGAGCAGGAACUGUCUUCUGUGAGACCCACAGGCCCUCUGAAGGUCACCUCCCCAGCCUGGGGCUGGCCUCUUGCUCAGCCCUGGCCCGGGCUCUGGCUGAGGCCUCUAGGAGGGGCAGGCUCAGGCUCUUGGUGUUUUCCAAAGAGUGCCGCUGCCCUUCGCAGGCUUGCUGUGGAGCAGAACCUCUCUGUCCUCACAUCCUGUCCAAAUGCACGCAGGUGAGGAGGCAACUGGCUAGCAACUCUGUUCAGCAAGCUUCCAGAGUGGGUGUCUGAAAGGCUGGUGGCGCAAGAGCAUUUGUAUUUCAAGUGGCUGCUGCCCAUGAAUCACCAGCUUCGUUCUCUGCUCUCAGCUAUGCAAAGGCAUCAUUUCCACCCAGCCUCAUGUGGAGCUGGCGGCCAGAGCCUCUCAGCGUGGCUAUAAAUAGCAGAUCAUCAACUCACCUCUUCUGAGCUCAUCACAGGCUCCUCAAUUUACUGUGUGUGUGCAUCUUCCUGCUGCCUGCACGUCACAGUCCCUCAGGUUUCCCAGGUGAGGCCUGGCUGGGAGUCCCAUGCCGGGGGAGGCUGUUGGGGGGACAAGGCAGGGUUUCGGUUCCCGGAACUGUUCAGGGUGACGGAGAGGGCAAUGGCAGACUUUUGAAGAGCUCGACAUUUAAGGUGUCAUAAUUAUGAUCUCGGUUCUCUGAGCUCCUCUCCUAUUAAAUGCAACAGCAAGGGACUGUCAGUUCUCUAGUCCUAGAAAUAAAAGGCAAAGGACUGACCAAGCACACACCCAGAGAACGCCACCCAGAGUGGGUAGUAACAAAUGAAAGGUUUCAUGCCUUUCUGUGGACUUGUCUCCUAAAACCAAGUGAAAUACUUCAUGGCUCUCUGGCUUCAGAAGUGAGAUUAACUGAAUGAAAUACUUUAUGGCUCCCUGACUUCAGCUGUGAGAUUGGGUUUUUUAGUAUUACUCAUAGCUACCAUUUAUGGAGUGCUCCCUGUGUCCAGGAUCUGUGCCAAGUCUUCCCAUGAAGAAUCUCAUCAAGUCACCGCAGCAGCCAUAUUGAGUUGACAGCUAACAUCGUUGGCUUUCUAUAGGCGAGGAGGCUGUGGGUCCCAGCGUCACAGGGACAGCGCUGCUGCCCAGUCUCUGAACCACCACACUUUCUGCCUCCUGCAGAAGAGGACAGUUUGUGUGUCCACAUAUAUCCAUUUGCAUGUGUGACUGGAGAGAGAUGGACUAUAAGACUCCUUUUCCCAGCCCCACAGCUCCACGACUGUAAGAGCCAGAUGCUCCCAUCCCAGGCUCCACUGGCACCCUGAGUGUCCCAUCACCAUCUUCUCCCAAAGCUGAUCUUUUUCUAGGUUCUCCUAUAAGGAGGGCACCCACCUGGGCUUUCUAGGCCCAACUUGAUGGCCUUUCUUUUGUCUCCCUCCACCUGGGCCCUGAAGCAGGCAGGGGUAGGGUGAAGCUCCUUCUUUCUCCCUCAUCCCCUCACCCCUGGGGGCAGCCUCCCUCCAAUCCAUUUCCUCCUCUGCCUCCCAGGGUCAUAGCCCCAUGUUUGGGGUCUGGUCCCCUUUAUUGGUUUGUCACAACAGCCCUCCGGCUCAGGGCUGCACCGGGGAAUGUUUAAGAGCACAGAUCUUGGUUCCCUCCCCAGAGCACCUGAAAUAAAAUCUUUCAGGGUACAGGCCAGAGGCUGGAUUUUUAAAAAGCUGUCCCAGUGAUCGAUGCAACCGGGGCUAAGGACCACUUAGUCUAUCUGGCCACCUAUAUUCCAGCCUCUCCCUGCUCUGAACCCUCCUACCCACAGCGAUCUGCUUUUAAUUUUCUUAAAGUGCAGUUUGUCUCUUUAUCUCCUAUUACUCUCCCGCUCAAAAUCCUCGAGCCACUCCCUACCGCCUGCAGGAAAGGGCGAAGUCCCUAGUGUGCGAGGCAGUUUCCAUCCUGGUUCGCUCAUUCUCCCGCUAGAGCCACUUUUCCCUGGGACAGCCUCCUGACCCUGCUUCCUCUCUUCAGCGUGUCUGGACUUUAGACAUCAGCUGGGCACAGGAGGGCACCCUGAAACAGCCGCAGUCCUUAGCUGAGACUCUGAGUCCUUCCAUAAGAGAAAUGAGGAAUUAUUGCUGAAAUGCCCCUCUUACUUCAAGAGCCACAUGUGCAGCUUUAAACGAAGAGGGUUUUGUGUGGCCUGAGGAUGAAAGGAGAUCUGCCAGCAGAUACGACAAAAUAGCAGUAAUGUGUAAACACAGGGUAGCAGGAGAGGUGGGGCUCAUGAUUAAUUCAAAGGAGAUGGCAUUUUGGCAUUCUCCUUGCUUUUAUUCAAGCCCAGAGGACAGAGCAGGUCUGGUAAGCACUGGAGCAAAGGCUGUGUUUCAAAAUAUGUCUCAGGCUUUUUGUCCUCCAUUCUUAGACUAAAGCAGAGAAACACGUUUGAAUCUUGCUCAAAAGGUCAAGGGUAUUUUGCUAAUAUGACUAAACAUUGUGUGUGUUUAGACUUUGUUUUAUUUCCCAGAAAGAAACACCUACCCCAAAAUAAAAUAAAAAGUGAUUGUGCUGACUGACAGCAGGAGUCAUUUCAGAAUGGAGCCUGGAAAUUGCUCCCCUCAACUGCUUCAGAGUGAAAAUGGACCCUAAAAAACUUCUGGUUACAUGUGCAGCAGAGCCUCUUAGGGGUCUCCAUCUGCUCACUCCCCAAACCCUACCGAAAACAACUCUACAGGAGCAAAAAGAAUUACGAAUCCACAAGGCCUAUGGGAGUAGGGGAGGCGGCGGCCGAUGAAGGAUGGCAGUACAGGUUUGGAAGGCGGAAGCAGGGGAAGCAGUGCUGGGUCACAGUGCAGCGUGGGAAGGCUGAAGGCCUGCUGCCUGUAGAGAGGUUGGGGGUGAGAAGCAGGCCCACUGCUGGGAACAGGAGGGUGGGGCUGCAAACCGGAGCACUGGUGGAGGCUGCCUGGGAGGGGGCAGUGGGGCGCCACACCCCUGGGCCUGCAGGAGACUGGGGUGCUCACUGGGGAAUCUGCAUUAGCACAUCAGAGUCUGUGGAGAGUAGGCACGAGGUACAGACCUGAAAACAUGGGUAAUAACAGAAAUUUAGAUACUGAAGGGAAACUC